rnacentral:rRNA from 1 species
CGCGUAGGCGGUUCGCUAAGUUGGAUGUGAAAACUCUGGGCUCAACCCAGAGCCUGCAUCCAAAACUGGCGGGCUAGAGUUCUGGAGGGGGUAGCGGAAUUCCUGGUGUAGCGGUGAAAUGCGUAGAUAUCAGGAGGAACACCGGUGGCGAAGGCGGCUACCUGGACAGAAACUGACGCUGAGGCGCGAAAAGUGGAGGGCAAC